UGCCGUGCAGAGUUUAGAUGCGUCUUUAUCUGUCGUGCAUCGUCUGCAACAAGCUGACUCACUCUGAAACCCAAACUCUGACAGCGACCACAGACACAGAGAAACUUGAUGCAUCUCAUUGAGAACUAACCAAGGGUAACCAUGGCAACCGGUGACAGUUUGAAGUCAGGCCAACACUUUCUGCAGCACUUUCUCUAUACUCUCUGAAGGCUCCCUGGUGAGACCGGUCCUGGUCUGCCGCCGCCUCCGCCGCCGCCUCCUCAUGACGUUGUCCGCCAGCGAGUUGGCUUUCUCGU